rnacentral:lncRNA from 1 species
CUAAACCUGAAACUCCACAACUCCCUAAACCCGAAAUUCCACAAGUGCCUAAGCCUGAAGUUCCACAACUCCCUAAACCUGAUAUCCCACAAGUGCCCAAGCCUGAACUCCCUCAAGUGCCUAAGCAUGAGAUCCCACAAUUGCCUAAACCUGAAGUUCCAGAGCUCCCUAAACCCGAGUUCCCACAAUUGCCUAAGCUUGAAGUUCCGCAACCCCCUAAACCCGAGAUCCCACUGUUGCCUAAGCCUGAAGUUCCAGAGCUCCCUAAACCCGAGAUCCCACAGUUGCCUAAGCCUGAAGUUCCGCAACCCCCUAAACCCGAGAUCCCGCAAUUGCCUAAGCCUGAAGUUCCGCAACUCCCUAAACCCGAGAUCCUGCAAUUGCCUAAGCCUGAAGUUCCACAACUCCCUAAACCCGAGAUCCCACAAUUGCCUAAGCCUGAAGUUCCCCAACUCCCUAAACCUGACCUCCCAGUACCUCCUCACAAUGCCAAACCCACCGAAUUGCCUU